UAGGUUAAGUCAAGACCCGAACGUAUUAAGUCCAGGCUUUUCGCCUCUAUUGAAAGUGCUUUACAACCCUCAGGCCUUCUUCACACACGCGGCAUUGCUGGAUCAGGCUUGCGCCCAUUGUCCAAUAUUCCCC
rnacentral:rRNA from 1 species